ACCAAUCCAAACGCAAACGCAGCAGGCGCUGCAUAAACCAAGCUUCCAAAGCGCAAGCACGAAGUGCAGCCAAAUGCAACAUUCAAACGCAGAAACAAAAGCUACAACUCAAAGCCAUGAAAACUGUAGCACGAACGGCAUAAGCUGAAACACGACAUUAACGCAGCGAGCCACAAAGUCACAACAAUCAAAACGACAUCAGUGCAGCAAUACAAGAAGCUUCCAAAUGACACCAUCCAAGCCGCACAAAAUUGUAAACGGCAACAGAAAAUUAUGAACGGAAAGUGCGAAAAAAAC
rnacentral:lncRNA from 1 species